GGCCCAGCCUGGCGAUGACGUCACGCAGCAACCGCACGGUCGCCAGAAGAGCGAGAUGCACGCUCUGUUUGCAGUCCUCAAUCGGAUAACCCUAGUGUAAACGUGUUGCAAGACAAGGAUAUACAGUAUUGGCACAAAUAGAACAAGCAACUCAAAUAUACAAUGAAAAAUAGCACGAACAUUUUUUCCAAAGAUUGACACAAAAAGCUGGAGUAACUCAACGGGUUAGUCUGCAUCUCUGGAGAAAAGGAAUAGAUGUCGUUUCGGAUCGAGACCCUUCCAAAAUCCCUAGGACUAUCAAUUAACUAGACAUAGGAAGUCAUUACACAAGAUAAGAUUAAGCUUAUGGGUUGCUACUCCUUACACCUUUACUAUUUCUCUACAUAGGCAUGCAGAAAUUCUUCUACAAGGGUUAACAGGUUAAUAUUGAGAAACCCUUUCCUCAAGCUGUAGAUUCUAAAUGAUUCUAGGUAGCAUGGUCUGUGGCUAAGGGUUUGUUUUAAUACGGAAUGUCAUCAAUCUUUUAGAUCCUCUAAUUCAUUAGUGUGAGGUUGCUUCUUGUUUAAUAUAUUUGAGGUUGAGGUGGUUAGAUUUUAGCGUAUUGCAGGAAUCAAGGGAGAUGGGGAUCAUGCAGGAACAUGGACUUGUGACUAAGGAAUAAGCAUGAAAACAGAGCAGGCCAGAUUG